rnacentral:rRNA from 1 species
UUUUGACCGUGCAAAGGUAGCAUAAUCAUUAGUUUUUUAAUUGAAAGCUGGUAUGAAUGGUUGGACGAGAAAGUAACUGUCUCAAUUUAAUUUGAAUUAGAACUUUAUUUUUAAGUAAGAAAGCUUAAAUGAUUUUAAAAGACGAGAAGACCCUAUAGAGUUUUAUAUUUCUUUAUAUAGGAUUAAUUUAGUUACUAGGCAUUUCUAUAUAAUGAGGUAUUUUGUUGGGGUGACAGAAAAAUUAAAGUAACUUUUUCUUAUUAGUAACAUUAAUUUAUGAUUCAUUGAUCCGUAUAUUACGAUUAUAAGAUUAAAUUACCUACAGCGUAAUUUUUUUUGAGAGUUCAUAUCGAAAAAAGAGUUUGCGACCUCGAUG